rnacentral:lncRNA from 1 species
GGCGGUGGUGGUGCUCUGCUCGUCCUGAAGGGCGACGUCAAGGAAUCAGGCUCCGUUAUCAAAGGCGACGUCAAGCAUAUUCACAACUGGACCCAACAAGAAGCUUCCGCCGCCUCCAAGUUAGCCUUUCUCUUUCUCUCUCUCUCUCUCCCUUUUAACGAAGGUUUUGAUUCGCUGUCUCCCCCCCCCCCCCCCAAAGGGCGGUGUUUCUGACCCUGAAGAUAAAUAAUUAGUGUGUGUGUGUUUAUAGGGCUGGUUUGAUUUAGCUGUUUUUGAGAUAUGUGAAGAGAGCUAAGAAUUUCAAAGUAAAGGUCUCCCAUUGCACUUGAGCAACAUUCGCUCUUUCUUGGUAAUUACAUUCCCAAUUCCUCUCUUACUCAUUAGUCACCAUUUGAUGCAUUACGGCAGUUAUAAAAGUAGGAGAACUAAAAGGGAGGGAAGAUGUGCAUUUGGGUCAAGAUGUGGUGGAAAUUAUCUGAGGGUUUAUCAACCGGAUGGGUAUGAGCUCCUUGGUAAGUGGUUACCACCACCCCUUCGUCUCCUGACAGCCUCUGCACUUGCUUCUUCACUCUGCAUCCUUCUUGUGUGCACUUGUAAUAGCUCCUACACAUAUAUGUGUUUUUUACUACUCAUGAGUCCUAUUCUCUAAAUGCUAUGUCCAAGAUGCAUCAAAUAUCAUAUUUUAUUAGGUGUGUACAUACAUACCUGGGGAAUAGAUUGUUCUUGACAGCUUUUUGC